CCCUUAGAUGUUCUGGGCCGCACGCGUGCUACACUGGUGCAUACAGAGAGUCUUAACCUUAACCGAAAUGGUUUGGGUAAUCUUGUGAAAGCUCAUCGUGACAGGGAUUGAUCAUUGCAAUUAUUGAUCAUGAACGAGGAAUUCCUAGUAAAGGCGAGUCAUCAUCUCGCUUUGAUUACGUCCCUGCCCUUUGUACACACCGCCCGUCGCUACUACCGAUUGAAUGGUUUAGUGAGAUCUCCGGAUUGGCUUCCUUGGUACCUUCGCGGGUCCAACGUGAAGCCGAGAAGCUGCUCAAACUUGAUCAUUUAGAGGAAGUAAAAGUCGUAACA
rnacentral:rRNA from 1 species